CAGUAAAAGAUGGCGAAGAAAGUCUUAUGUCUCAUUGCCACAAUUUUCACGAAAUGGUCAGAAAUCUGGGACUGAAAUUGGCAUCGAUCUGUGAAAACGGGUGGUGAGAGAUUUGCUCCAGCAGUGAACGCGUCUUGCGUCUUAAACAAUGUAAGGACAUAUUGGCAGUGACUCAAUCGUGCACGAGAAGAUUGAAUAAGUUCUCCAUCAAAGACGUCAGACUCGUGUUCCACAGCGGCUGCAUCCAUGUCAAGAUUACAUGUCGCUUGUCAGAGUUUGUCUGCUAGUAAAUUUGCAGGGUUGAAACUUAAUAUAAACUGUAAUUUUUACUUUGGGUUGUGAAUCGGCUGUAGUUAUUUUCAAACUAUCACAAAGUAGUGUUUAGGAAGAGUACUUUGCUACACGAACAUGUUGUAGUGGUUUAUUACCGUGUAGGUGUGGCAACAUAAACAACAAGCACAUGUAGGACGACCGGUUUUCUUUUUGUUCGUAACAUAUUUGUGAGGGCAAAUCUGCAAUUUGGCACUUCUCCGUGAACAAUUAUUUAUUUAAUUGAAUUCUAGUAUUUAUUUUGGUGAUGUUUACUUUUGGAAAGAAAGAAAAACGUCUCAA